GGGAGCACCCGAAGUCCGCUUAGCUAACCUUACGGAGGCGGCGGCCGACGGUGAGUUCGGUGACUGGGGUGAAGUCGUAACAAGGUAGCAGUAGGUGAACCUGCAGAAGGAUCA
rnacentral:rRNA from 1 species